GACUGUAUGAAACUCUCCGUGAUAUUAACUGCACCGUAAGUUGCUGGAUGCGGACCUCCCAACGACCAAUCCACCCAUGUCAAGGUCCUGUUAGCACUCAGCGAUCCAUGGAACAUGUGGAUGAAAGUUGGAAGGAAAUGCUCGUCCGGGUAGCAAGCUGGCGUGCAAUGCUUCUUGAAUAGAGUAUAGUACUUAGUGUCCGACACUAUGUAAGAAGCUAAGGCUCGCUGCAUC
rnacentral:lncRNA from 1 species